rnacentral:rRNA from 1 species
UGAGCAAUCUGCCCUUCUCAUCGGAAUAAGCGUUGGAAACGACGUCUAAUGCCGAAUACGACCUCCUUUCGCAUGAUCGGAGGUGGAAAGCUCCGGCGGAGAAGGAUGAGCUCGCGGCCCAUCAGCUAGUUGGUGUGGGUAAUGGCCCGCCAAGGCGACGACGGGUAGCCGGCCUGAGAGGGUGACCGGUCACACUGGGACUGAGACACGGCCCAGACUCCGUACGGGAGCAG